rnacentral:rRNA from 1 species
AGUCGACGGGACAGGGGCAACUCUGGUUCAGUGGCGGACGGGUGCGUAACACAUGAGGAACAUGACUUUCGGCGGGGGAUAGCCGGCCCAACGGCCGGGUAAUACCGCGUACGACCUCUCGGGGACAUCCCCGGUUGGUGAAAGCAGCAAUGCACCGAAAGAGUGCCUCGCGGCCUAUCAGCUAGUUGGUGAGGUAAUGGCUCACCAAGGCGACGACGGGUAGCUGGUCUGAGAGGAUGUCCAGCCACAUUGGGACUGAGACACGGCCCAGACUCCUACGGGAGGCAGCAGUGGGGAAUAUUGCGCAAUGGGCGAAAGCCUGACGCAGCGACGCCGCGUGUGGGAUGACGGCCUUCGGGUUGUAAACCACUGUCGGGAGGGACGAAUGCGCCGCAAGGCGAGUGACGGUACCUCCAAAGGAAGCACCGGCUAACUCCGUGCCAGCAGCCGCGGUAAUACGGAGGGUGCGAGCGUUGUCCGGAAUCACUGGGCGUAAAGGGCGCGUAGGCGGCCCGAUAAGUAGGGGGUGAAAUCCUGCGGCUUAACCGCAGGGCUGCCUUCUAAACUGUCAGGCUAGAGCACGGUAGAGGCAGAUGGAAUUCCCGGUGUAGCGGUGGAAUGCGUANAGAUCGGGAAGAACAUCAGUGGCGAAGGCGGUCUGCUGGGCCGUUGCUGACGCUGAGGCGCGACAGCGUGGGGAGCAAACAGGA